UGCCGGAGGUCUUGCGGAGCGCUGUGCGCUGGCACCCCCCGCUGUCCUACCGCUGGGGCUGCUCUUCGGCCUCGUAUAGAGUCACCCGUGACAUCCCUUCCCCGCUCACCCCGGCCUUUGCCCCCUGAGUCAGGGCGCUGCCGGUGCUGCCCGGCCCGGCUCGCCGUGCCCGGCGCUCGGCAGGACGGGCGCCUCGCGGGGUGCUGUCCCCGCCUGCCGCUCGCCCGCCUCAGCCCCAGCCUGCAGCGGGCCAGGAAAAGUCCGUAGAACUCCGCUAAAAUUCAGGCAGAUUUCUGAAAUCUCCGGCCGCAGCUCGGCAACAUUUCAGUUCGUGGGGAAUGUGAAGGUUGAAACAGAAGAUCAGCUACAGCUGGCAGAGCCUGCAUAUGGUAAACAACGAAGUACACUGAAGAUGUUGAACUGUAUCAGAUUCCUGCUUUUUGGAUCUGUGUCGUUCCAGGUCAUUGCAGUUUAACUCUUAGAGUGCUGUUGCACUCCCAGCUGCAAGCACAAGCUACUCUUGAAAAGCCUGCAAAUUGUCCCGGGGCCUGUUAAUGGCUUUAACGAGCUGCUCAGGAAGACAGCAGGGAUUUGUGCAAGAGCUUCUGCAUUGGAAUAGCUGUAUUAGCACCUGCUGAAGACAACCUGCAAGUCAUUGACAGGCCGCCUCAAGACCAAGAAAAGACCAAGAAAAAAAGGGAUCAUAAAAUUGUUAGCAGACUAGAGGAUGCUGCCUCUCAAAAUGCUACUACACCCAUGUUAACAAGCAAUUCAGAGGAGUGAAGCUUUAAGAAUUUUUUAAAGAAGUAUUUAGCUGGUUCAAUAUUUGCCCUAUAUUUGAACCAGCACAUAAAAAUAAUACAAUCCUCAAGUUACAUAGUAAAUUAGGCUGGAACAGACCACAGGUAGUCAUCAGGUCCAAUACUCUGCUUAACACCAGUCCAGCUAGACCAGGUUGCCCAGGGACUUGUCCAGCUGAGCUCUGACUGUCUCCCAGGCUGGAGAUUCCUCCACCCUUCUGGCCCUUUGUAUGUAAUACAGUACCAUAUAUUCAAAUAAUUCAUGUAAUAUUUCAUCUUCCUAUGCAGUCAGACUCUGUGCUCCAGCUGCCAAGCUUUUCUAGCUAAAAGCUGCAGUAUUUGGUAUGUGUUUGAAUUUACAGGUCUGUUCCCACUGAUUUACUUUAAUUAUUUUUCUUCAGGCCUGAUGUCCCACCAGUAAGCACAGACACCUCCUUGAAUAACUCUGCUGAGAAGUAAGGCUUUAAGCUUAUCUCUGCCAAACCCUCCGCAGGGUCCAGAUGCUCACUGGUGUCACUGUUAAUUAGACAUAUUUCAGCAGUGCUUACUGUAAACUUGAACUGAGCUGCCAGCCACAUAUCAGUCCUGCCUGCCUGCAUUAUAUAUCCCCUCAUGCCCAAAUCAAUAAUAUUAUGUACUAGUAAAUAAUAAUGGUUUCAUAAAGCUGAAGUAAUAGAGAUUUAGAGUGUUGUUUCAGGUAAAGAAAUGAGCCCCUGGGGUCUGUUGUUUGGCUGUUGAUUUUGCUGUGUCCCAUAGGGGGAUUUCAAAGCACUUCCAAAGUGGCUUUUCACAAGGGGAUUAACAAACACACCAUUGCCAGGGCCCUGAGAGAGCAGAUAUUGUUGCAUUCAAGUGGGAAAGUUCCCUUUUUUCUCCUUCCCCUGUCUUCUCCACGCCAGUGAAAAUUGUGAAGAAGAUAAAAGUACCAUAUUCAUACAAAACUUCCCUUUACCUUAUGCUGAAUUUCAGUGACAACCAGGAAGUCCAUUUUCAGCUACUGACUCCAAAUUCCAUGAUUUAAUUUUUUUCCUCCAAUUUUUUAAAUGGAAGAUU